UGAAGUUGGAUUCGCUAGUAAUCGCGCAUCAGCCAUGGCGCGGUGAAUACGUUCCCGGGCCUUGUACACACCGCCCGUCAAGCCAUGGGAGCUGGGGGUGCCUGAAGUUCGUGACCGCAAGGAUCGACCUAGGGCAAAACCGGUGACUGGGGCUAAGUCGUAACAAGGUAGC
rnacentral:rRNA from 1 species